rnacentral:rRNA from 1 species
UACAGAGGGUGCGAGCGUUAAUCGGAAUUACUGGGCGUAAAGCGCGCGUAGGCGGCUUUGCAAGCCGGAUGUGAAAUCCCCGGGCUUAACCUGGGAACUGCAUUCGGGACUGCAUUGCUAGAGUAUGGGAGAGGGAAGUGGAAUUUCAGGUGUAGCGGUGAAAUGCGUAGAUAUCUGAAGGAACAUCAGUGGCGAAGGCGACUUCCUGGACCAAUACUGACGCUCAUGUGCGAAAGCGUGGGGAGCAAACAGG